CACUCUGUGCUACAUUGUAGCAGUAGCACUCUAGUUAAGCUCCUUUUUUUCCCCAAGUUUUCUUCCCCCAAGCAUGAUUUGUUUUAUCUAGAAGUUUCUGCCUUCCCCACCAUUUAACACACAGCCACAGCUGAACAGUUCUCCUUUAGUCCUGCUGUGUAAAAGAAGCCAAAGACCAAGGCUUAUUGAACUGAAAGUACGAUCUGGAUUCAUUAAAUCAUGUGGAGCAAGAAUUGGCCAAUCUAACAUGUGAAGUGAGUGUUUCGUUCGUUUGCCCGCAGACCCCAGUGAAAUCAGUGCUACCACUAGAUCUAGAAGAAGAGAGGUGGGGCAGGAAAGUUAUUCACUGUGCUAAACUGCAUUAAUGCUAGCACAACAAGGAAUUCAAAGCCCAUCUUAACGCUCAGAAGUCAGGAAGUGCAAAUUUAUGGUUCCCACAGACACCAAAACUCAGUCUUUGACACAUGCAUUAUUUUAUAUUGUGUCCUGUUACUCCUGUUGUUCCAUGAAGUGCUAUUUGGAAAUCCUGAACAAGAGAAUGCAAGGCAAAUGAGAAAAAAAUCCUUCAGUGGAUUACAUAGCCACAUGCCCAAGCCUGUCCAGUCUCUGUGAGCAAGCAGAAAUUAAAUGUAAAACCUGGACACAUUUUGUUGGAAUUCAACUACACUGUAGAUAGCACACCUAAUAUACAUAACAGUCAGUCGACAUCAGUGCUCCACUCAGGUGAAAAAAACAUCCUAAGGUUUGAAAUGUGUUAAGCUGGACACAAGUAACACAGUUGGCAACUUAUGGAAAGACAAGCUCUUAAACUGUGUUGAUAUGUCAUGAAAGCUAAAGAAACGUGGUUUUCCACCGCAGGGGAAAGCGAGCACAGAAAAAUCAAGAGAACCAUCUUGGACAGGGUAGGAGAGGAUACCAAAUAUGGAAGCAGUCUGAAACGCUAGAGUCAUCCUUUCAUCUAUAGGCCCGUGUAGCUUCAAGCAGCCUGAAAAGAGAACUGCUGUCAACUGGGCUAAGUUCAUGAAGUUGCUUGCAACUUGUUAAGCAAGAAAAAUGGUUUAGUGAGUUUUAUGGUACAUAACCUGUUCACUUCUUUGCAUUUUAAAUUCCAGCAAGUUGUGAAUAAAUUCAUGAUACAGCUUAGAUUGCUAGUAAUGGCCAGAUAACAUUGCAAAGUUACAUGAUGCCAAUUUUUAUUUCCUCCCUUUUCAUCUCAUCACUGGUUUCCAGAUGACAUUGACUUACAUUAACACUCUUCAAGUCAGCGGUUUUUGAAGAGCUUCUUUAUAAAUGUACUUGUUACCUGCCAAACAUUGGAUCUCUCCACGCAUGAAGUCAUUCAUGUGAGAGAAAAAGAUUAACGUCAGCAGCUGAUACUGUUUUUGGGAUGUUUUUUAAGUACACUUAAACAUACCAAGAAUACCUAACGAGAAUAAGGCUAAUCUUGCAUUAAAUCUGGUAUAGCCACAAGCAUUUAAAAUUGUUGUUCUCAUGCUGUCAUAGGAAGAAAUACUGAAAAUAGCAGGACGUUCUGCUAGAUUACAUGCAUUUCUCAACCUGUUCCUCUUAGAUCUGCUAUGGCUUCAAGGACUGUCUCCAGAGAGAGGUGUUUCUUCCUACCAGUCAAUUCUACAGCAGUAUUUCGUAGUGCCCUGCAUGGAAGCCAUGCAGCAGAAACAUGGCUAGAGAUUAUUGUAACCUGGGAAGGAUAUCUUCAGACUUCUGCCUAGAAUAUUGGCACCUUAAUGAAAAAGAUUUUCUUCAAAAUGUUCUCUCCACUUGCAAAAUGUGGUAUGUCCAGAGUUACCAGGUCUUGUUAUAUUAGGUACUUUUUAGUACUCUCAUUCCUUUUGCUCUGCUUCUGUGCUCUAAUCUCAGGCUUUCCUCCUGAGGUCUUCACAACCUUCAGACAACUGGACCUACCUCCAAACUCUUGACAUUUUCCUGGUGGCAAAAAGAAUUCUUUCCUGGAUAACCGCAGAAGAACGGAGAGGAGUGCUUACUCAUCUAAAACAUCAUUCCUUUCUUCUGUCGAUAUAAGGAAAGUGUACAGUUAAUAACAUCCCAAGUGACCUGAGGCAGUCAUGAACUAUGGCCAGAGAGGGAAGGGGGAGAGGGGGUAAAGGAAAAAAAACAAGCAAAAAAUGCACGUGAGAGACAGCUUAAAAUAUACAGAUAUGGUGGAUGAGAUCAAGUUUAUGUACAACAUUAGGAGUCUACACCCGUAACUUGGUAUUGGAAAAAACAACCUUCCUUUCUGGAAGUCUCUUCCCAUGAGAUUGGAAUAAUAAUGGCUCAAUUGGAAUGGUUACAGUGCAAAGUACCCCCAACAUCUUCAAAAAUAGCCUCAGACAUUCUUUUAGACCACAUUUUCAUUGAUACACCCAUGCGUCCCUUUUCAAGCCAUGUCCUUAACAACUUACCCAUUUCCUUUGCCACCUUGACAAAGCAAAAUAUAGGGAAUGGUUCUUGUAGGUUUGAUUUUUUUUUUUUUUUUUUUUUUCAAUCAGUGAUCUCAAUUGCCCUUCUUCUGUCAGUCUUGUGUAUGAACCUGUAAGCAUUCUUUGUCUGGCUACAUUACUAAGGGACAUUCAACAACAAACUCAGCAGGAUACUAAUAGGCUGUCUUCAUUAACCUUUGUCGAGUGAGCUAUGUUCCAUCAUGUUUACGCCUUGCACAUUUGUGAUGUCUCAGAGAUUUAUAAAGGGGAUGUUAAUGGCAACAGAGCUUAUGCAAUUAACUAUCCACUAAAAAGGAAGAAUGUUUGCAGGUUAGGACAGAAAGCUUUUUUUUUUUUUAAUUUUUCCCCUCAUCAAAACUUUGGCAGCACUCAAGAGGGCAAAUGGAACAGAGAAAUCAAUCAGAGGGACCUCACCAAUGAUCACUAGAAAAAGGAUAAACGGCAACAGAAGCUGCACUGAUAGGUAUCCAAAAUAAAGAGACAGCUUUUGAGAGAAAAAACAUCAGAAGGCUGGUGAGGCAGAGGCAGUCUAGUGUAAUACAUCCCUUUCUCAAAACACAACUGUCAUUGCUCACGAGACACCGUGGAAACCAGACUCAGAAAGCUGAGCUGUAGAAUGAUUUACAGAGUUAACUUCUGAGGUUAAGCACCUAGCCUUUGACUUAGCUGUGUAAAGUCCAUCAAGUAUUUAAAAUGGGCUUCUCAACUUACACCUCUCAAAGAUCUAACACUCAAGCUGCACAGAGGAUGUUUAUUGAAUGACUUAGAAUUUCAUAUUUUAAGUAAAAAAUUAAAAAAUGCUCCAGAUUUCUUAAGGAAACAAUCCUACACACAGCAGUCUGUUAUUUCCCCACCUUCUCAAUACAGUAAUGAAAUGACUGCAGGUUGGAAGCAUAUGAAUUACUUGCAUUUUAGUUAGUUUGAUUAAAAAAAAAAAAGGAAAACAAGACUUAUGAUACUAACAUUUCAAAGACAUGUAAAACUGUAAGUAGAGAGUUACAGCCGAAUGAGCAUAAAAGCAAAUUUAAGAUUACCAUGUGAAUAAAAAUGAGGAAGGGAUUUUCAGAGCCUAUAGCUCUCACAACAUGAUGAUUUGCUUCCUUUAAAAAAAAAAAACCUAUAGACAACAGAACAAAAGUUGACAUUGCUACUCUAUAUUAGGCAGCAGGUACCUUUCUGGCUGCCAUUUCAAAGAAACUCAAUAACUUCUCCUGGCUGACGGAAGUGCCCUUGCUUCAGACUGUGAGGAAGACUAAACCAUGAUUCUCUGUCUUUCAGUUUAACCCAAGUCUGUAGAAGAAGCCUCACUAUACUGUAAUAAGUAGAGAAGAGGAGCUGAAGUCACCUAGACUCAGCAAAAUCAAGAGAAUGGAGACAGAACUCCAGCUUCUGUAUUUCCUAUUUAUACUUAGCUAAAACAAAUAGAUUUGAAACAUUAACAAUUGUAUAGCAAACAGGUAUACAGGUAUUGGACCAGAGAGAUUAUCACCUUACAAAGGAGAAAUGAAAUAAAGAUCUUACCCAUAUCCUGUGCUCACAGAAGGGCUGCAAGAAGAAUCUCCAGCUUAAGACCCUUCCUCCUUGGGAGUCAUCCCUUAAAUGGGGUCUAGGAGGGCUGGAGCCAGGCUCCACCCCUUCUGGUCACUCAGGUGAAAUUGCGUUCACCUGUGCCCCUGCAGCUGACUCCGUGCUUGCCUCAGGUGGUCAAUCAGAAGUUCAGGCCGUGAUUCAACAGUUCCCAUACAACAAUACACAUCACUCUCCUGCUCUGAUUGCCACGCCUUGUGAAAGUGUUAUGUACCAUCCCAAGUACUCUUCCAAGCAAGAGAAAAAUCUUCAUAACUCAUCAAUAAACAUGAAAGAAUAGUCUUAGAGAAAUUUAGCUGCGAUGCGUUCAGUUAUUUCAGUGGAAUCAAACAGGUCUUAAUGCUACCCUUUAAGAAUGAACUGAAAUAAGGGGCAAACCUCUGUGAAGGGUCAAACAUUUGAAAAGCUUUGCUCUACAGCAUGAUGC
ensembl:lncRNA